rnacentral:rRNA from 1 species
GUGUACUUUGCUCAUACUGCCGGAGGCCGAAUGAUUGGCAAAAAGGUUGCUGAGAAGAUUCUGAACAAGAAAGAGCGGGAGUUCUUCAAGUGGGAAGGUACCCUGUCCUAGCUGCUGCAGAAUGUCUGCACCACACUAAACCAAGUUUCUUAGAGCUGGUCUCGGGAAGAGAAGGACCACUUCCUGGAGGAGACCGAGAAGUCGUUCGCCUACUCAGGAGAUCUCCUACGCCAGAUAUUCCCCUGA